GUCGAGCGAAUGGAUUAAGAGCUUGCUCUUAUGAAGUUAGCGGCGGACGGGUGAGUAACACGUGGGUAACCUGCCCAUAAGACUGGGAUAACUCCGGGAAACCGGGGCUAAUACCGGAUAACAUUUUGAACCGCAUGGUUCAAAAUUGAAAGGCGGCUUCGGCUGUCACUUAUGGAUGGACCCGCGUCGCAUUAGCUAGUUGGUGAGGUAACGGCUCACCAAGGCAACGAUGCGUAGCCGACCUGAGAGGGUGAUCGGCCACACUGGGACUGAGACACGGCCCAGACUCCUACGGGAGGCAGCAGUAGGGAAUCUUCCGCAAUGGACGAAAGUCUGACGGAGCAACGCCGCGUGAGUGAUGAAGGCUUUCGGGUCGUAAAACUCUGUUGUUAGGGAAGAACAAGUGCUAGUUGAAUAACCUGGCACCUUGACGGUACCUAACCAGAAAGCCACGGCUAACUACUUGCCAGCACCCGCGGUAAUACUUAGGUGGCAAGCGUUAUCCCGGAAAUUAUUGGGCGUAAAGCGCGCGCAGUGGUUUCUUAAUUCUGAUGUGAAAGCCCCACGGCUCAC
rnacentral:rRNA from 1 species